UACGUAGGAAACGAGCGUUGUCCGGAUUUAUUGGGCGUAAAACGCUUGUAGGUGGCUACGUCAAGUCGGACGUGAAAUCUCCCGGCUUAACUGGGAGGGGUCGCUCGAUACUGGCGAGCUCGAAGCAGGUAGGGGGAAGCGGAAUUCCCGGUGUAGUGGUGGAAUGCGUAGAUAUCGGAAGGAACACCAGUGGCGAAGGCGGCCUUCUGGACAGUGACUGACGCUGAGACGCGAAAGCGUGGGGAGCAAACAGG
rnacentral:rRNA from 1 species